AUUAGUUUUUUAAUUGAAGGCUAGAAUGAACGGUUGGACAAGAAAUAAUCUGUCUUAAAUUAAUAUAUUGAAUUUAACUUUUAAGUGAAAAGGCUUAAAUAAUCUGAAGGGACGAUAAGACCCUAUAAAACUUUAUAUUUAUAAGAUAAUAAUAAGUUUUAUUUUAAUUUGUUAUUUUAGAGUAUUUGGUUGGGGUGACAAGGAUAAAAUAUAAAGUAACUGUCCUUUUUUUUUACAGUGAUGUCUGACUUAAUGAUCCUAAAAAGGAUUAAAGAUUAAGUUACUUUAGGGAUAACAGCGUAAUUUUCUUUAAGAGUUCUUAUCGACAAGAAAGUUUGCGACCUCGAUGUUGAAUUAAAAGUUCUUUAUAGAGUAGAGACUAUAAAAGAAGGUCUGUUCGACCUUUAAAUUUUUACAUGAUUUGAGUUCAGACCGGUGUGAG
rnacentral:rRNA from 1 species